AUGUCCCUGAUCUCUCUCAUCAUCUUAUAUCUGACCUCCUCACCAGGGAAAUAAUUGGCAGGGGUUAUCUGAGGGGUCGACUAUUUCAUCUGAAUUGCAUGUUCGCCGGAGUGAAGCCGGAGAAGGCAGUUCAAGCAGCUUUGAUUUCGAUUGGGGUUACUAAUCAAGUUGAAGAAUUAUGGCUAUGGCAUCGGAGAUUGGGACAUCCUUCCUUUAGUGUCAUGAAGAAAUCUAUGCCAUCCUUGUUUCUGGGUAUUGAUGAGUCUAAGUUGCACUGUGAGUCAUGUGUCUUAGCUAAAAGUCAUCGUACUACUUAUCUUUUGAGUACUACUAGGAGUUCUUUUCCUUUUGAGCUUAUUCAUUCUGAUGUCUGGGGACCUUCCCGUGAGUCAACCUUGUCUGGAAAACAUUGGUUUGUUUUGUUUAUUGAUGAUUAUACCCGUCUUACUUGGGUCGCUUUAUUGAAACACAAAUAUGAAGUCUUCUCUGCUUUCCAAGAAUUUUUUGCUCUUGUUCAAAAUCAAUUUGGAGCCAAUAUUAAAGUCUUUCGUUCUGAUAAUGGGGGGGAGUUUGUCAAUUCUCAGUUUCACCAAUUCUUUCAUUCUCAUGUGAUCAUUCAUCAAACUACUUGCCCUCAAACCCCUGAACAAAAUGGGGUGUC
rnacentral:lncRNA from 1 species